CCUACGGGAGGCAGCAGUGAGGAAUAUUGGACAAUGGGCGCAAGCCUGAUCCAGCCAUGCCGCGUGCAGGAAGACGGUCCUAUGGAUUGUAAACUGCUUUUAUACAGGAAGAAAUACUUUCUCGUGAGAGAGCUUGACGGUACUGUAAGAAUAAGGAUCGGCUAACUCCGUGCCAGCAGCCGCGGUAAUACGGAGGAUCCAAGCGUUAUCCGGAAUCAUUGGGUUUAAAGGGUCCGUAGGCGGUUUUAAUAAGUCAGUGGUGAAAUCUGGUCGCUCAACGAUCAAACGGCCAUUGAUACUGUUAGACUUGAAUUAUUGUGAAGUAACUAGAAUAUGUAGUGUAGCGGUGAAAUGCUUAGAUAUUACAUGGAAUACCAAUUGCGAAGGCAGGUUACUAACAAUGGAUUGACGCUGAUGGACGAAAGCGUGGGGAGCGAACAGGAUUAGAUACCCUGGUAGUCCACGCCGUAAACCGAUGGAUACUAGCUGUUGGGCGCAAGUUCAGUGGCUAAGCGAAAGUGAUAAGUAUCCCACCUGGGGAGUACGUUCGCAAGAAUGAAACUCAAAUGAAUUGACCGGNUGAGACGNGCGAGGACGACGACGAGGGAGGAGG
rnacentral:rRNA from 1 species